UACGUAGGUGGCAAGCGUUGUCCGGAUUUACUGGGCGUAAAGGGAGCGUAGGCGGAUUUUUAAGUGGGAUGUGAAAUCCCCGGGCUCAACCCGGGGGCUGCAUUCCAAACUGGAAAUCUAGAGUGUCGGAGAGGAAAGCAGAAUUCCUAGUGUAGCGGUGAAAUGCGUAGAGAUUAGGAAGAAUACCAGUGGCGAAGGCGGCUUUCUGGACGAUAACUGACGCUGAGGCUCGAAAGCGUGGGGAGCAAACAGGAUUAGAUACC
rnacentral:rRNA from 1 species